GUCCUCUUGAUUUAUAAUAAGAGGUUUGACCUGCCCAGUGAGUUUAUUUUAACGGCCGCGGUACUUUGACCGUGCAAAGGUAGCAUAAUCAUUAGUCUUUUAAAAGGGGGCUGGAAUGAAGGGUUUGACGAAGGACUAUCUGUCUCAUUUUGUUUGUAUUUAGAAUUUAACUUUUUAGUCAAAAGGCUAAAAUUUUAUUGGAAGACGAGAAGACCCUAUAGAGCUUUAUAUUUAAAUGAUUAUUUAUUUAAUAUUAUUUAUAUUUAUUUGUUUAAUUAUUUUGUUGGGGUGACAAAAAUAUAUAACUAACUUUUUUAUUUAAAGUACAUUGAUUUAUGAAUAUUAGAUCCAUUAUUAUUGAUUGAUAGAUUAAGUUACCUUAGGGAUAACAGCGUAAUCCUUUUCCAGAGUUCAUAUUUACGAAAGGGCUUGCGACCUCGAUGUUGGAUUAAGAUAAUUUUUAGGUGUAGCCGCUUAAUUAAUAGGUCUGUUCGACCUUUAAAUUCUU
rnacentral:rRNA from 2 species